UGAGGAAUAUUGGUCAAUGGACGCAAGUCUGAACCAGCCAAGUAGCGUGCAGGAUGACGGCCCUAUGGGUUGUAAACUGCUUUUAUAUGGGGAUAAAGUGGGGAACGUGUUCCCUUUUGCAGGUACCAUAUGAAUAAGGACUGGCUAAUUCCGUGCCAGCAGCCGCGGUAAUACGGAAGGUCCAGGCGUUAUCCGGAUUUAUUGGGUUUAAAGGGAGCGUAGGCUGGAGAUUAAGUGUGUUGUGAAAUGUAGACGCUCAACGUCUGAAUUGCAGCGCAUACUGGUUUCCUUGAGUACGCACAACGUUGGCGGAAUUCGUCGUGUAGCGGUGAAAUGCUUAGAUAUGACGAAGAACUCCGAUUGCGAAGGCAGCUGACGGGAGCGCAACUGACGCUUAAGCUCGAAGGUGCGGGUAUCAAACAGG
rnacentral:rRNA from 1 species